rnacentral:rRNA from 1 species
AACGAACGCUGGCGGCAUGCCUAACACAUGCAAGUCGAACGAAGGCUUCGGCCUUAGUGGCGCACGGGUGCGUAACGCGUGGGAAUCUGCCCUUGGGUUCGGAAUAACAGUGAGAAAUUACUGCUAAUACCGGAUGAUGACUUCGGUCCAAAGAUUUAUCGCCCAAGGAUGAGCCCGCGUAAGAUUAGCUAGUUGGUGAGGUAAAGGCUCACCAAGGCGACGAUCUUUAGCUGGUCUGAGAGGAUGAUCAGCCACACUGGGACUGAGACACGGCCCAGACUCCUACGGGAGGCAGCAGUUGGGAAUCUUCGGCAAUGGGCGCAAGCCUGACCGAGCAACGCCGCGUGAGUGAUGAAGGUUUUCGGAUUGUAAAGCUCUGUCUUCCGGGACGAUAAUGACGGUACCGGAGGAGGAAGCCACGGCUAACUAACGUGCCAGCAGCCGCGGUAAGCUCGUCUCUA